CAGCAGCCGCGGUAAUACGUAGGUGGCAAGCGUUGUCCGGAAUUAUUGGGCGUAAAGGGCUCGCAGGCGGUUUCUUAAGUCUGAUGUGAAAGCCCCCGGCUCAACCGGGGAGGGUCAUUGGGAAACUGGGAAACUUGAGUGCAGAAGAGGAGAGUGGAAUUCCACGUGUAGCGGUGAAAUGCGUAGAGAUGUGGAGGAACACCAGUGGCGAAGGCGACUCUCUGGUCUGUAACUGACGCUGAGGAGCGAAAGCGUGGGGAGCGAACAGGAUAGAUACCCUGGUAGUCCACGCCGUAAACGAUGAGUGCUAAGUGUUAGGGGGUUUCCGCCCCUUAGUGCUCGCAGCUAACGCAUUAAGCACUCCGCCUGGGGAGUACGGUCGCAAGACUGAAACUCAAAGGAAUUGACGGG
rnacentral:rRNA from 1 species